rnacentral:rRNA from 1 species
AGACGAACCGUACAAACGUUAUUCGGAAUCACUGGGCUUAAAGGGUGCGUAGGCGGCAUGGUAAGUUGGGUGUGAAAUCCCUCGGCUCAACCGAGGAAUGGCGCCCAAAACUGCUUUGCUUGAGGGAGAUAGAGGUGAGCGGAACUACGGGUGGAGCGGUGAAAUGCGUUGAUAUCCGUAGGAACACCGGUGGCGAAAGCGGCUCACUGGGUCUCUUCUGACGCUGAGGCACGAAAGCUAGGGUAGCGAACGGGAUUAGAUACCCCGGUAGUCC